AACGCCCGUCACUCUGUCCCGCCCCCACAGGAGAACCCGCCUUCCGAAGUUUGCAAUUAGUCUAUUUUGAAGAGGCGUUCCUAACACGUGUGAGGAGAUCGCCAAGGCGUAUUUCUUCUUCCACUGAUUAUUGGGUAGACAUGCUGCCAAUCAUAAGAAAAAGGUGGUCCCUUAGAGUAGGAGGGAGGAUCCCGGAAAUAACAUUUUAACUCCGCCCCCCACCCCCCCCACCCCUUUGCAAGGCAGGCGGGGCCCACAGAGAAGGGAGGGGUGGAAUGGAGUGUGGUAUGAGUUCAAGGGAACGUCCUGGCCUCCAAGUCCGGAAGCUUCGAGGAUAUUCUCAACUGUACAGUCAGGUCGAGGUUUCUCAGAGCAAGUGUGCCUGGUACCUGCAGAGAUCAGAAGACAGCAUCAGAAGACUCGGACUGUAGUUACAGAUGAUUGUGAAGCACCUUACGGAUGCUGGAAACUGAGCUCCAGGUCCUCUCGGAGAGCAGCCAGUGCUCUUUUUCUUUCCUCUCUUUCUCCCCAACCUCCUGAAGUUGUUUGAGACAGAUAUCUCACUCUAUAGCCUUGGCUGGCCUGAAUUUCACUGUAUAGAUCAGGCUAUCCUCGAACUCACUGAGAUCCCAAGGCUCUUCUACCUCUACCUCCCAAGUUCUGGGAUUAAAGGCACAUACACCAUCGCA